rnacentral:misc_RNA from 1 species
AAGUCGUAACAAGGUUUCCGUAGGUGAACCUGCGGAAGGAUCAUUAAUGAAGUCUGGGUUCAACCUCUCUACUUCUAGCACACUUGUAGAACUUACACUGUUGCUUUGGCAGGUCUCCAGAAGGGUCGAAACCCUGGACGGUCAGGUCGAAAGGCGCCUGCCAAAGACAUUUAUCCACCCUUUUUUUAUUGUCUGAUUUUUGGUUUUAAACAAAUUAUAAAAAAG